ACGGGUGAGUAACACGUAGGUAACCUGCCUAUGAGACUGGGGUAACUAUCGGAAACGAUAGCUAAGACCGGAUAACUGGUUUUCUCGCAUGAGAGAAUCAUGAAACACGGAGCAAUCUGUGGCUUAUAGAUGGGCCUGCGGCGCAUUAGCUAGUUGGUAGGGUAACGGCCUACCAAGGCGACGAUGCGUAGCCGACCUGAGAGGGUGAACGGCCACACUGGGACUGAGACACGGCCCAGACUCCUACGGGAGGCAGCAGUAGGGAAUCUUCCGCGAUGGACGCAAGUCUGACGGAGCAACGCCGCGUGAGUGAUGAAGGUUUUCGGAUCGUAAAGCUCUGUUGCCCUAGACGAACAGCAUGAGGAGUAACUGCCUUGUGUGUGACGGUAUAGGAGAAGAAAGCCCCGGCUAACUACGUGCCAGCAGCCGCGGUAAUACGUAGGGGGCAAGCGUUGUCCGGAAUUAUUGGGCGUAAAGCGCGCGCAGGCGGUCAAUUAAGUUGGGUGUUUAAGCCCGGGGCUCAACCCCGGUUCGCAUCCAAAACUGGUUGACUUGAGUGUAGGAGAGGAAAGUGGAAUUCCACGUGU
rnacentral:rRNA from 1 species